AGAUCGUACGGUGUGCUCUCCUCGGAGGCUGGCUCGUCAACCAUCUCCGGGCAGCACCAUUUGUCUUAGGCCACGCCGGCACGCAGAAGAUCGUGGACGUGCAAGA
rnacentral:sRNA from 1 species